UACGAAGGGGACUAGCGUUGUUCGGAAUUACUGGGCGUAAAGCGUGCGCAGGCGGUGAUGUAAGACAGAUGUGAAAUCCCCGGGCUCAACCUGGGAACUGCAUUUGUGACUGCAUCGCUGGAGUACGGCAGAGGGGGAUGGAAUUCCGCGUGUAGCAGUGAAAUGCGUAGAUAUGCGGAGGAACACCGAUGGCGAAGGCAAUCCCCUGGGCCUGUACUGACGCUCAUGCACGAAAGCGUGGGGAGCAAACAGG
rnacentral:rRNA from 1 species